UCUACGGGAGGCAGCAGUGGGGAAUAUUGCACAAUGGGCGAAAGCCUGAUGCAGCAACGCCGCGUGAGUGAUGAAGGCUUUCGAGUCGUAAAGCUCUUUGAUCAGGGAUGAUAAUGACAGUACCUGAAAAACAAGCCACGGCUAACUACGUGCCAGCAGCCGCGGUAAUACGUAGGUGGCGAGCGUUGUCCGGAAUUACUGGGCGUAAAGGAUGCGUAGGUGGAUAAUUAAGUGGGAUGUGAAAUCCCCGGGCUCAACCCGGGAACUGCAUACCAAACUGGUUAUCUAGAGUGUAGGAGAGGAAAGUAGAAUUCAUAGUGUAGCGGUGAAAUGCGUAGAUAUUAUGAGGAAUACCAGUGGCGAAGGCGACUUUCUGGACUAUAACUGACACUGAGGCAUGAAAGCGUGGGUAGCAAACAGGAUUAGAUACCCUGGUAGUCCACGCCGUAAACGAUGGGUACUAGGUGUAGGGGGUAUCGACUCCCCCUGUGCCGUCGUUAACACAAUAAGUACCCCGCCUGGGGAGUACGGUCGCAAGACUAAAACUCAAAGGAAUUGACGG
rnacentral:rRNA from 1 species